rnacentral:rRNA from 1 species
UACGUAGGGUGCGAGCGUUAAUCGGAAUUACUGGGCGUAAAGGGUGCGCAGGCGGCGUCGCAAGUCAGGCGUGAAAUCCCCGGGCUUAACCUGGGAACUGCACUUGAAACUACGAUGCUGGAGUAUGGCAGAGGGAGGUGGAAUUCCACGUGCAGCGGUGAAAUGCGUAGAGAUGUGGAGGAACACCGAUGGCGAAGGCAGCCUCCUGGGCCAAUACUGACGCUCAUGCACGAAAGCGUGGGGAGCAAACAGG